rnacentral:rRNA from 1 species
ACGAACGCUGGCGGCGUGCUUCACACAUGCAAGUCGAACGGAAAGGCCCUGCUUGCAGGGUACUCGAGUGGCGAACGGGUGAGUAACACGUGGGUGAUCUGCCCUGCACUUCGGGAUAAGCCUGGGAAACUGGGUCUAAUACCGGAUAGGAGCCAUUUUUAGUGUGAUGGUUGGAAAGUUUUUUCGGUGUAGGAUGAGCUCGCGGCCUAUCAGCUUGUUGGUGGGGUAAUGGCCUACCAAGGCGGCGACGGGUAGCCGGCCUGAGAGGGUGGACGGCCACAUUGGGACUGAGAUACGGCCCAGACUCCUACGGGAGGCAGUAGUGGGGAAUAUUGCACAAUGGGCGCAAGCCUGAUGUAGCGACGCCGCGUGGGGGAUGACGGCCUUCGGGUUGUAAACUCCUUUCGCUAGGGACGAAGCUUUUUGUGACGGUACCUAGAUAAGAAGCACCGGCUAACUACGUG